UUUUUAUAGUCUCUAAUUUUUGUCGAGCCUGCGACUUAUGUCGCAGAAAGCUCGACAUAGGGAUAGCGAUCCGGCGGCGGCGGCGUUAGCUAACUUCUUAAAAGCUUUAUAUUUUAGAAGAUGGAAGACCUGGAUGCUUCAUACUUUGUAUAUGGAUGCCUCAUGUUACGAAGUUUCCGUCAGUCACAUGUCCAAUGUCCUUGACCUCAUUUUCAUGGUUCAGUGACUACUUGAAAAAAAAGUUCAGAUUUUUUGUAAUGUUAAAUUCUCUCUUAUUAUAAGUAAUAGGAUAACUAUAUUUGGUAUGUGCGUACCUUGCGAGGUCCUCAUGCCCGUCAGACAGUUUUCACUUGACCUCGACCUCAUUUCAUGGAUCAGUGAACAAGGUUAAGUUUUCGUGGUCAAGUCCAUAUCUCAGAUACUAUAAGCAAUAGGUCUAGUAUAUUCGGUGUAUGGAAGGACUGUAAAGUGUACAUGCCCAACUGGCAGGUGUCAUCUGACCUUGACCUCAUUUUCAUGGUUCAGUGGUUAUAGUUAAGUUUUUGUGUUUUGGUCUGUUUUUCUUAUACUGUAUGCAAUAGGUCUACUUUAUUUGGUGUAUGGAAUGAUUGUAAGGUGUACAUGUCUAGCUGGCAGGUGUCAUCUUACCUUGACCUCAUUUUCAUGGUUCAGUGGUCAAAGUUAAGUUUUUGAGUUUUGGUCUUUUUUUCUAAUACAAUAUGCAAUAGUUCAACUAUAUUUGGUGUAUGGAAAUAUUUUAUGAUCUUUAUGUCAGUCACGCAGGUUUUAUUUGACCUUGACCUCAUUUUCAAGGUUCAUUGCUCAGUGUUAAGUUUUUGUGUUUUCGUCUGUUUUUCUUAAACUAUAAGCAAUAGGUCAACUAUAUUUGUUGUAUGGAAGAAUUGUUAGCUGUACAUGCCUGCCUAGCAUGGUUCAUCUGACCUUGACCUCAUUUUCAUGGUUCAUUGGUCAAUGUUUAGUUUACUUGGUUAAUGUUAAGUUUAUGUGACAGUUGUAAUAAAGCUUUAUAUUUAGGACUAUCAACAUAAUAUCAAUGAUUAGUAAAGAAGGCGAGACAUUUCA